rnacentral:rRNA from 1 species
UUAGGAAUUUUGCGCAAUGGGGGAAACCCUGACGCAGCCACGCCGCGUGCGGGAUGAAGGCCUUAGGGUCGUAAACCGCCUUUCUCGAGGAAGACACCCGACGGUACUCGAGGCAUAAGCAACGGCUAACUACGUGCCAGCAGCCGCGGUAAUACGUAGGUUGCGAGCGUUGUCCGGAUUUAUUGGGCGUAAAGCGCGCGCAGGCGGUUCCGAAAGUCGAUGGUGAAAGCUCCCGGCCCAACUGGGAGAGGCCCAUCGAAACUUCGGGACUUGAAGGCGGGAGAGGCAAAUGGAAUUUCCGGUGUAGCGGUAAAAUGCGUAGAUACCGGAAGGAACACCAGUGGCGAAAGCGAUUUGCUGGCCCGCCCUUGACGCUCAGGCGCGAAAGCUAGGGGAGCGACCGGGAUUAGAUACCCCCGUAGUCC